rnacentral:rRNA from 1 species
CACGUAGGGUGCGAGCGUUGUCCGGAAUUAUUGGGCGUAAAGAGCUCGUAGGCGGUGUGUCGCGUCGGCCGUGAAAACCUGCAGCUUAACUGUGGGCUUGCGGUCGAUACGGGCAUCACUGGAGUUCGGCAGGGGAGACUGGAAGUUCCUGGUGUAGCGGUGAAAUGACGCAGAUAUCAGGAGGAACACCGGUGGCGAAGGCGAGUCCCUGGACAACUCCUGACACUGAGGCACGAAAGCUAGGGGAGCAAACAGG